AUUUCAUUGUAUAGAAGCUGCAGCUGGGCCUACACUGUACGAUUUUAGCCCGUUUCUGGCCUGAAUUUUGAGCCGCACGACUCAUUUUAGAGUCAAACCGAAUUUCAGCUUCGUCAGGCGUCGUUUGCCGUGCCACGUACAGGGGGGGAUGA